rnacentral:rRNA from 1 species
CCUACGGGAGGCAGCAGUGGGGAAUAUUGGGCAAUGGACGCAAGUCUGACCCAGCAACGCCGCGUGAAGGAAGAAGGCUUUCGGGUUGUAAACUUCUUUUAAGGGGGAAGAGCAGAAGACGGUACCCCUGGAAUAAGCCACGGCUAACUACGGGCCAGCAGCCGCGGUAAUACGUAGGUGGCAAGCGUUGUCCGGAUUUACGGGGUGGAAAGGGCGUGCAGCCGGGCAGCCAAGUCAGAUGUGAAAUCCCGCGUCUCAACCGCGGAACUGCAUUUGAAACUGUUUUUCUUGAGUAUCGGAGAGGUAAUCGGAAUUCCUAGUGUAGCGGUGAAAUGCGUAGAUAUUAGGCAGAACACCAGUGGCGAAGGCGGCUUACUGGACGACAACUGACGGUGAGGCGCGAAAGCGUGGGGAGCAAACAGGAUUAGAUACCCUUGUAGUC